UACGUAGGGUGCAAGCGUUAAACGGAAUUACUGGGCGUAAAGCGUGCGCAGGCGGUGAUGUAAGACAGUUGUGAAAUCCCCGGGCUCAACCUGGGAACUGCAUCUGUGACUGCAUCGCUGGAGUGCGGCAGAGGGGGAUGGAAUUCCGCGUGUAGCAGUGAAAUGCGUAGAUAUGCGGAGGAACACCGAUGGCGAAGGCAAUCCCGUGGGCCUGCACUGACGCUCAUGCACGAAAGCGUGGGGAGCAAACAGG
rnacentral:rRNA from 1 species